AGGACUGCAUGGUAUCAGCAGCCAGCCACUAGUCUGGUUCCACUGUUCAUUAGUCAGUGCAUGAACAAUUCGACAUCUGGCAUCGUUGGUCUCCAUUCCUCUGUGCCGGGAGUCCUGGUAUACAGUC
rfam:Salmo salar isolate Sally breed double haploid chromosome ssa19, whole genome shotgun sequence.